AGGGAUCAUUCACAUGAUAUUUUACCUUAUUAACAAACUGUGAACUUUAUAUACUAUUCGUGUUGUUUGUAAUUUAAUUACAAUCUAACACUGUCAUUCGAUGAACAUUAGAUAGCUGGCUUGUAUUUUUUUAAAUACUUUCUCAGCUUGAUUUGUUUUUUUUUGACUAAACAUCAUAAAACAAUCAACCAAACAUAGAAACAACUCUAUGCCCUGGAUAUCUUGGUUCUC
rnacentral:misc_RNA from 1 species